CCGACAUGGAUACUCCCAGGAGCUCACUCUCCCCAGCCUCUGUCCAGGUGCCAGGGAGGAGUGCAGGGCAAGGCCCCGUGACAGACAGUCCUUUUCCACUACGUCGGAGACCAAGCUGGGCCUCGAGCCUGCCCCUGCACUGUCCUACAGCUUCUCACCUGUGGACAAAGACAGAGGAGAAAAGGCAGGCAGGAAACAGCC
ensembl:snoRNA SNORA73 Small nucleolar RNA SNORA73 family